UACAUCUUGUGUAUCUCACUGAAAGUCGAUGCAGAGCCAGCACUGCUCCUUUCAGAGGAGAAUAUUCACUUAUGCUUAUCCCUGAGAAGCUAUUUCAGUAAGCGUCUCAGUACAUAAAGUAAAAAAUGAAUGUGAAAAAGAAGUGCACUUUCUGCAACUGCAAUAUGAAUAUGAACUUUCUGAUGAAGAAAGAAUCAGAAGUGAGAACACGAAGAUGUAGGACAAACCAUGUGGUCAUGGAUCUAGGGAGGGCAGGAAGAAGAAAAGAUAAGAAAAUAACUAAUAAGAAAGUAAAAUGCAGGUCCCUGCUUGACUUUUGGUCCUGACUGAACAAGGCUAUUAAACUGUGUUAGUUUAUUCCUGACUGUUCCCGCAAAGAUGACUGAGACCUGUAUCCAAUACUUGGCCACAGCCUGCCUUUAUCUCCAUUUCUUGGAUGUCUCCAGUUGCAUUAAUCUUACAAAGCACUGAAAUGUCAUUGGAAAGGGCGAAAGCAACUCCAGAUUCUCAAGAUGCUGUACUGUAGAAAUAUUACCAAGUAAGAGGAUAUUUCCUAAUCUUAAUUUAGGUUUAAACCCAAAAACAUACGGUCUGUCUUCAUUGACAUCUUCUUGCUCCUUUCAUCUUCAUCUUGCUCCUUUAACUGGGGGUGUGGGAGGUUUGGGACUGUCCACAUUGCUGCCUUAGGAUUUGUAUGGCUCCAUGUAGAUAUCUAUAUACUCUAGUGUCAGCCAGAAGUGAAGAGAAAUAGGGACACCAUCUGUCUUUAUGGCACAAAAGGUUCUGCUAGGGAAGUUUAUACAGACACAGGGUAUCAACACAAAGAAAUGUGGAAUCUGAGGGAGAAAACCAGGCUGGGCCUAAUAUGCUCAGCCAUCAUGCUGAGUACUUGAGCUCACUCAGUUUGUAGGAGCCUGUGGGAGUAUAUUUCCCAACAACUGACUGUCAGUAUAGGGCAGAAGUAGAUUUGAGCAUUGUUGUGGACAUGUGUUCAAAAUAUAGCAUGGAAACAGCGAAUGAGUCAAGGUAUCAUAAACACAGUUUAAUGAAGUAUAAGUGAAACAUACUACAAUUGGAAAAAACAGGUCAUUUACCACAAAACAGUCCAAUUUCUCCACUGUUGUAAAUGGUCCUGUACUCUUGAUUCCCCACGGAGUCCAUUUUGGUCAGUUUUCGAUUUGAGUUUUCAGCUCUGUGUCUCCAAGAUGCGGAUCAAUCACCCUUCCGUUGUGUUUAAGAGCAUAACAGAGCAGUCACCUUACACCUAGCUGCACAGUGGCCAGACACUCCAACAGUACUGAAACUGUUUGGAAAAGAGUUAAAGUUUAAGGAGGAUUGAUAAUUCUGAGUAUAUAACUUGAUCAAGCUUUAAUACUUCAAUAAGAGUAAGAAAUAUGUACAUUAGAUUAUAUAGUGAGGGUAUCUACACCAGGAGAAUGCUAACCCCACUCUUACAGUGCUUACAAGACCACUGUAGAGUGAGCACUCCUUGCUAAAUCAUUCCAGGGUUUAAUAGUCACUUCAGAGACUACAAAACUCAUGCAGAUGCUUAGCAACUUAAAAGAUAUUUUAUGUGCUUCAUGCUUUCCAAACCCUCCUUGGUUUAUUUCCCUCUGCCUCACCACAGACAAUUCUGCUCUCAUUACCUUUUUUUUUUUUUUCCUUUUCAGGCCUCUUUUUUUUUUUUUUCUUUUCUCUCUGGCCUAGCUUUCUUAGUGUCAUUUUAGAACUUCCUUCUCAAAACAUCUACUUCUAAUUAGAUUGCUAGCUAUGUAUUAGCUAUGGAAAGUGUCAGUAGUAAUUGAAAAAAAAAAUUCUAAAUGUACUACUCUUCAUAUGAAAAAAAAAUAAUUAAAAUACUUUUAACUUCCUAAUAACUUUCUGACUUACAGUUUUUCUCAUAUUAAGCCUCAAGGGGUUUUCUCUAAUCCCAGAUUACUGUUGUUGAUUUCCUUUUUCUGUGCCUUUAUAUCUUUGUUUAGAGCACUAAGCAGCCUUUUUGUGCUCUGGUUGCUUAUACAUCCUCCUGUAGAAAUGAGAUGUAAUAGGAAUGAAAGUUUGAGCAAGUUCCAAUUUGAUUGGUGUGCCAUGACCAAAGAGCUGAGUUGAUUUCUCAGAAACUCACUUGCAAUAGUUUGGAUUUUGCAUGAUCCAAGAUUGUGCCUCUGCCUGAAUCCUGUAUGCUAUGGGGUCUCUGAACAUCUUGAUUAAACUCUUCUGUCCCGGCCAAGGAAUUUCCCAAUCGGUUAUUUUUACUGUAAAGAAAACCCUAGAGAGUCACAGAUUUUUCAAAACAAAAAGCAGCCCUGAGACACACAUCUCCACCCAGUGUUAUCUUUCCCCUUUUUGUGAUUUUUACAACUAGAAAAACUACCAACUCAACUUUCUCAAUCUUGAUUUUCCGGUAUGUGAUGGUGGUUGGUUCUUUUCCUUGCUAGCCUCAGGCUCUGAUCCUUUGCCCUGUAAGUUCAGAGAUAUGAAACACCCUGUGCAAUUUGAGUCAGGUGGCUCAACCAUGUAAAAUAAUUCAGUACAGAAGGUUCUUUACUUGUUCUUUCUAACACAGCUGAAGAGCCUCCCUAGACCUAGGCAGGCUGCAAAAUGCACUAUGUCAAGAUCAGAGUGGCUUUUCAACUGCCACCAAAUGCAAUGAUAUUCAGAAAAUAGAAGGGAGUUCACAGUGAGAUUCAGAUAUAUUCUACAUCCUGUGUGUGUCACAGUUGCUAAAAGACCUUUUUUAAUCGUAGUUCAAAGUCAAUAUUGGGAAGAUAAAACAUUUGCUUUCUGCCAAUAACUGCAUCAAAAACAUAGUAAAAUAUGGCAGCAAUUCUAAGCUGUUGGUUAUAUUGCAGCAGAUUUUAAGUAACGACAUCAAAAGCAAUGACAGUGCUGUCACUUCCAUGUCACAAUGUACUUUUAUAAAGCUAUGUAUUUCAUUCACAACCUGAAUGUUUUUAUUCAUGAAAUGUAAGUAACAGAUUGUCACAAAAAUGAACAACAGGUCCUCAUUCUCUGUUUUCAGGCUAACUCCUAAAGCCUUAUUCAGAUUCUUAGAUAUUCACAGAAUGUAUUGGAAAAAGCUGCUUUCAGGUGUAAUUUAUAUACUACAGGCAAGAAACAUACAUUUCAGGGAUAUUUCGUUCCCUAGUCAAGGAGAUGGAAGAUACAUCUCUUUAAAAAAUUAGAUGAAUCUGGAGAACUAAACAUGCUAGUGGCUUUGAUUCUAAAUUAGCAAUAGAAUAAAUGUUUUUAAUUUGAAGUUGCUAUCUUAUAG
rnacentral:lncRNA from 1 species